UGGGGUGUGGCUCAGUGGUAGAGCACUCGUCUAGCAUUCACGAGGCACUGGGUUCAAUCCUCAGCACCACAU
rnacentral:tRNA from 1 species